GGCCGAUCUCACAACCACUUAUGUGGUGACACUAAUACAAAGAUGUAGAUGCUCAUUAGAGAAUAAGUUCACUGAACAGACCUAUAAAAGAAUAUCUGAUGGAGCCUUACAGCAUGUCAAUAGAUAGUUCUUCAGUGGGAAUGGUGCAUAUGAUCCUUUGACCUGAGAUCAUCAUGGCACCUUAUGUGCAUGGACCCUUACUUUGGUUUAUUCCUUAGCAUACCACUUUGAGAUGUGUG
rnacentral:lncRNA from 1 species